CUUUGCUUCUCUCCCAACCCCCUCCAUCCUCCUCUGCUUCUCCUGCAGUGCCAUACCGCAUCCUCUUAUGUGCUCCACUGCAAGCACCAACAAGGCAGACGCUUCGCCUUCUCCAGAUCUGUGAAGCGAUGAACAGGGCAUCGAGGCGUUAGGUAUCACGAGAAGAAGCUCUGCCCAUGAUCCCUCGCCACCAAACUCAUUCUACCAGGGGAGACUAGCCACCAUCUGAAUGGCUUCGUCGACUCAAAGCUCCCCGAGUGUCGGUCAAGCACUUCAUGACGUGGUACCUCCUGGUCGUUUUAUAUGCGUAGCUGUGGAGCCAUCUCCGGCGCCUCUGCCAUAAAGGUAGCCGUCUCUCUUGCUCUCUGCUUCAGGAGCAAGGCCCCCUGUUUUCUUUCAUUUGCCAGAGCCGACGACCUCGCAAUUGAGAAGGUUACUAAUCCCUUAUGUCAAUCCCUGUUCAUAUCUCUCAAAUUAACCUCAGGGUGUUGUCGAUUUUGCUUCGUGCAUGUCUGCUUCCGCUCAAGUUAUAGCACUGGGUGAAAUUUUGAGUCCCCAUCGCCAGUUGGUACCUCCCUCUCAUCAUCUGAUAUGUAUCAGCAAAAGGGUCUCGCCCCGAUUCCGUUUCAGAAAUCAGGUACUAUAUAGUUUGGUAGCAAGAGGAACACAGCUAACAUACAGGCUCAGCGGAAAGAAAGGAAGGAAACGCCAACCAGCCACUAGGAAAGGCAUAUAACUUUUGUAUUUGCGAGAAAAAAGGCGUAUAACUAAUUACAGAGAUUUCAUACACAUUAACUCGAAAUGACAGAAUAAUCAGGCUGAGGAGAUUAAUUGCCGAUUAUUUUUCACAUGCCUUCUAUACUUAUGCACAUGAAUGAAUUCCCUAUUUUUUGCAUCCUCAAUCGUGCAUCUUUAAUUAUUUAUUGGUUGUUGUUCUGAAUUGUUGUGAAAUUGUGCUAUCUAAUUUCCUACAUAUAUGGUUAUCGUACUUGAGGGUUGGAGGUCCAAGAUUUAUAUUGACAUGCACAAUAUCAAAACAGGGAAAACAAUCUUAAGCACUGCAGAUUGUUUCUCUAGCUCUAUAGGAUAUUGUAGAUUAUUUCAAGUUUUGAUGUUUACUUUCAGUUGUCCAAGCAUAUUUUCCUAACAAUUGUAUCUUUUCUUUACCAGGAGAUUUUAUUCCUCAUUUAAGUUCCUUUCAAGAAUCAAGACUACCAUGGACAAUUUUUUUGUUUCAACUCAUGUAAACCUAAAGUGUUGGCUGCAUGUUGUCAUGAGAAUAGGAUCAUCGGCUUAAGGUAAAUACAUAUCUCAAUAAACCAUUUAAUGAUUAUAAUUUCUAAUUGUUCCUUUGUUUUGACUAAGAAAUAUAAGAGCAUAUGAGCAGAGAAACUGUAGACAAAAUACAAUCUACAGCCAUCCAUGGUCAUUAUUACAAGGGCAAAGGAGGUUGCGUAACUCUGGUGGUCAAAAACACUGUUGUCCGCGCUUCUAUAUCCUAAGUAUUAGGGCUAAUAACCGCCCUGCAAGGCUCCAAAAAGGUAUUUGUUUCUCUUACCAUGACAAUGAUGCAGCUCCCAGCACACAGGAAAGUGCCGUCAGAUAACACACAUAUUCGUCUCCCUUUCUUUUGUGUGUGCGCGUGUGUGCUCAGAUAUUCAUUUUUUCCCACUUCGUGAAUCAUUCAUGCCCGCUAUAUUCAUUCAGCCUGAUGCUCAACAAUUUUUUUUUUGCAUACACGCUUGUGGUAUUACUUACUGAUGUUUCUUUUGCCGUGCAGGGGAUGCUCUUUAGAAAAUUUGUUACCUCUAAAGCCAUAUUUUCUGAAAUGAAAUUUGAUCAUUCCUAUGCCCCCUCCAUUUUCUUGAAUUGAAGUUCCAUCAUAGUUUGCAGAAAUCAGCUUAUUAGUUGUCCUCUUAGAUCAAUCCUCAAGUUUGUUAUAAGUUGUUUGCCACCUUAUGACUAAUGACAAUGUUCUAAAUAAAACAAAUUGUACUUCCAUAUGUGUCUAGCUCUCCAUGUUUCAAUUUCUCAGAAGUAAAGACGCACUUCAAUAAUUUUAAGCUAAGCUUCUUGCUUGCUUUCCGGAAUAAUUAUUUUGUUAUAUGUGCCAACUGGCUACAUUCAAUUUAACCUUUGCUUUAUGGUAUAAUAAUAUUCAAAUAUUUCAUGAGGUCAUGGGUUUGAGUCAUGCCUCUUGCAGAAAUGUAGGGAAAGACUGCAUAGUACGACCCAAAGCAGUCGAACCCUUACCGGACCCUAUGCAAGCGGGAGCUACGUGCACCGGGCCGCUCCCUUUAUGGUAAUAAUAAUAUUCAAAUAUUUCAUUAUGUGAUGAGGUGACAUUAUUAGAGGCUAAUUCACCUUGGAUUGUUCUAUUCCUCUCCAGAAAAGAUUUGCAUAUAUACGACAUGUGCACUGUGAUUGGAUUGCAACUGAGUUGCAUUUGUCCUUAUCAUUCUAUUGUACUAGAGUGCAUGCAUUCUCACUUUUGUAUUGUCUAUUUAUACAAACAACCGUAGAUAACUUAUGCUACUCCACGGUAUUAACAUACUUACUAAUUGAAAAAGCACCUUAUGAUCUGUACAAUUGCCCUUGAUAUGUCC
rnacentral:rRNA from 1 species